AAACUACUCCCUCCGUCCCAAAAUAAGUGACUUCGAUUUGUAUAGAUUCUUAUACAAAUCCACGUCACUUAUUUCGGGACGGAGGGAGUACGUU
rfam:Brachypodium distachyon strain Bd21 chromosome 1, whole genome shotgun sequence.